CCUACGGGAGGCAGCUGUGGGGAAUAUUGCACAAUGGGGGGAACCCUGAUGCAGCGACGCCGCGUGAGUGAAGAAGUAUUUCGGUAUGUAAAGCUCUAUCAGCAGGGAAGAAAAUGACGGUACCUGACUAAGAAGCCCCGGCUAACUACGGGCCAGCAGCCGCGGUAAUACGUAGGGGGCAAGCGUUAUCCGGAUUUACGGGGUGUAAAGGGAGCGCAGACGGCUGUGCAAGUCUGGAGUGAAAGGCGGGGGCACAACCCCCGGACUGCUCUGGAAACUGUAAAGCUGGAGUGCAGGAGAGGUAAGCGGAAUUCCUAGUGUAGCGGUGAAAUGCGUAGAUAUUAGGAGGAACACCAGUGGCGAAGGCGGCUUACUGGACUGCAACUGACGUUGAGGCUCGAAAGCGUGGGGAGCAAACAGGAUUAGAUACCCUUGUAGUC
rnacentral:rRNA from 1 species